rnacentral:rRNA from 1 species
GACGAACGCUGGCGGCGUGCUUAACACAUGCAAGUCGAACGGAAAGGCCCUGCUUUUGUGGGGUGCUCGAGUGGCGAACGGGUGAGUAACACGUGAGUAACCUGCCCUUGACUUUGGGAUAACUUCAGGAAACUGGGGCUAAUACCGGAUAGGAGCUCCUGCUGCAUGGUGGGGUUGGAAAGUUUCGGCGGUUGGGGAUGGACUCGCGGCUUAUCAGCUUGUUGGUGUGGUAGUGGCUUACCAAGGCUUUGACGGGUAGCCGUCCUGAGAGGGUGACCGGCCACAUUGGGACUGAGAUACGGCCCAGACUCCUACGGGAGGCAGCAGUGGGGAAUAUUGCACAAUGGGCGGAAGCCUGAUGCAGCAACGCCGCGUGCGGGAUGACGGCCUUCGGGCUGUAAACCGCUUUCGCCUGUGACGAAGCGUGAGUGACGGUAAUGGGUAAAGAAGCACCGGCUAACUACGUG